AAAACAGUCCUGUAACAGCUUAUUUUUACAAAGUAAAUGUAAAAGAAAAUCACAUCAACCCGCAAGGAGUCUGGUCAAGUGAUUUGCUAUAAACAUAAGCGUCAACGCUGAUUUAAAUUCAAUUGUGAAGUAAUGUGCACAAUUACCAUUCAUUCAGUGAGAGAGAGACUCAUUAGCGCCUGGCUGGGUAACAACGUUCUACAGCGCAUUGUCUCGUGGGUUAAGUUGGAAAUAGGUGGGGGAUAAAACGGGGGAAAAGUCUCUAAAUACUUGUCUGUUUGUGAUUUUAAAAUCCUAACAAACGAGCCAUGUAAAAUAGAAACAUUUAGGAAACGUUAGGGAAGGCUCAGGACCUUGCAUUCCUUUUGGGCCAAUUUGUUUAAUUUACAAAAUCAAACGUCAGUGGCCGUUGGCCUAUAGCGGUUCUAUUGUUAAGACAUGACUGAUAGAUCUGACUGACUGAACUACAAUAGUUGUAUUAUAAUGACAUCAGACCAGAAGCAAAAAUCAGAAAAGCAAAAGUAUUUUUAGUCUAAGCAGAGAGGAUUUAUCUUUCAUGGGGGCAAAAACGAGAUCUAGGUUAUAUGCAUGUGUGUUGAGAUCAUGAUCAAGCCUCAAUUUGGCCACUGAAAGAAUGAGGGCAUGGCAGCUUGCUUCAUGAUGUCAUCCAACACCUGAUCAGCUUUGUCCAGGAAGAUUCACCAUGGCAGCACAGACAGAAAAUAAGUACCUGCCACCUCCCCCAGAUCCUGGCCGUAACGCCAUCUUGAUAACAUUGGUCUGUGACAGAAAGAUGUCGUCGGCAGUGACCGUGUGUGACGGAUCUUCCGGGUCACUGUUGUUUCUCCUCCACAAGAUGUCGCUGUGGUGCUUCUGUCAAACUCACUAAAAUGUUUGGCAUUGCGUCCAUGGAAGAUGAUGCCAAGGCUCUUGGAAAGUUUACAGUAAAUAUGUCAAUUGUGUACCUGUCUUGAUUAUAUGGUGAAGAUGCUUCUCAUAUCACAAGAUAAACCUUUCAAAUAGUCCCACAUUUCUAAGGUAUUUUUGAUUUUAGAUAAAUAAAAGAUGAAUUAACGUCA